CCUACGGGUGUCUGCAGUGAGUAAUAUUUGUCAAUGGGCGCGAGCCUGAACCAGCAAAGUCGCGUGAGGGCAGACGGUCCUAUGGAUUGUAAACCUCUUUUGUCGGGGAGCAAAAGACGCCACGCGUGGCGUUCCGAGAGUACCCGAAGAAAAAGCAUCGGCUAACUCCGUGCCAGCAGCCGCGGUAAUACGUAGGAUGCGAGCGGUAUCCGGAUUUAUUGGGUUUAAAGGUUGCGCAGGCGGAAGAUUAAGUCAGCGGUAAAAUUGAGAGGCUCAACCUCGUCGAGCCGUUGAAACUGGUGUUCUUGAGUGAGCGAGAAGUAUGCGGAAUGCGUGGUGUAGCGGUGAAAUGCAUAGAUAUCACGCAGAACUCCGAGUGCGAAGGCAGCAUACCGGCGCUCAACUGACGCUCAUGCACGAAAGUGUGGGUAUCGAACAGGAUUAGAUACCCUUGUAGUC
rnacentral:rRNA from 1 species